AUACUUACCUGGACAGGGUCGAUGGGUGAUCAAUAAGACCCACAACCUAGGUUUGUGACCUUCAUUGCACUUUGGAGGAGUGUCUAUCUAAGGUCGAUACAAAUGGUUGAGCCCAUGUCAUAAUUUGUUGUAGUGGGGGUUUGCGUUCGUGCAGCCCCUAC
rfam:Solanum lycopersicum cultivar Heinz 1706 chromosome 1, whole genome shotgun sequence.